GUCGUAGCUUCAGUCCCAACGACAGAUACUAAAAUUGGAACAAUACAGAGAAGAAACAUUAUCCUGCGCAAGAAUGCUACGAAACAUCGUAAAGCAUUCCACAUUUUU